GGAUGAGAAGCUUCGACUAAGGUUCGAUUCGAGCGAAAGCGAGAAAGCGUUGCCGCAGGCAACGACCCGAAGGGCGAAGCGCGCAGCGCUGAGUAAUCCUUCCCCCACCACCA
rnacentral:sRNA from 1 species